rnacentral:misc_RNA from 1 species
UGGAAGACGGGCAAUUCAUUCAGAGUCUAAUACAGAUGCUCUCUUCAAACUCCUCAGCAUACAAAUUGGUUUGCCUCAAAUGUAUCAAGAAGCUAACAGCAUACCCCAGGAUGGCAAAGCGGCUUCUGUCAGAUUCUGCAACCAUACCACCUUUGCUGGGUCUCAUCUCAUUUAUCAGCCCUGAUCCACAUUUGAAGCAAGAAGCUGGUGAGAUCCUUG